rnacentral:rRNA from 1 species
CCAAUAGCGUAUAUUAAAGUUGUUGCAGUUAAAAAGCUCGUAGUUGAAUUUCGGGAUUAGUAGGUUGGUCGUGCCUCCGGUAUGUACUGGCUUCACUGAUUCCUCCUUCUUGAAGAACUGUAAUGUCAUUAAUUUGGUGUUGCAGGGAAACAGGACUGUUACUUUGAAAAAAUUAGAGUGUUUAAAGCAGGCUAACGCUUGAAUACAUUAGCAUGGAAUAAUGAAAUAGGACGUUUGAUCCUAUUUUGUUGGUUUCUAGGAUUGACGUAAUGAUUAAUAGGGAUAGUUGGGGGCAUUAGUAUUCAAUUGUCAGAGGUGAAAUUCUUGGAUUUAUUGAGGACUAACUACUGCGAAAGCAUUUGCCAAGGAUGUUUUCAUUAAUCAAGAACGAAAGUUAGGGGAUCGAAGACGAUCAGAUACCGUCGUAGUCUUAACCAUAAACUAUGCCGACUAGGGAUCGGAUGAUGUUAAUUUUUUAAUGACUCAUUCGGCGCCUUACG